GUGCGCUGUGUGCAGAGCCCUUGACUGUUGAAGCGUCUGUGAAGUUGAUGGCUCUGUGAGUGUUGCCGUCUCUCUGGAGCUUCCCUCACUCAUGCUUCCCCAUCAGGUCUCCUCAGCCUCCUAGGGAGGAGGGGGUGUGGGUGCCGUGUCUGGCUCUGGCUCGGUCUGUCAGCAGCUGGAGGUAGCGGGGCGAUGCAGGCCUUCUGAGGCAGGCAGGACAGCCCAGGCUGUGGGAGGGGCGGCUCCCGCGGAGACUUCACGUCCAGCCCCUAGACCCCUCCGCAAGAUCCCAGGAGGGCUGCGGGGCAGGAAGCCAGGCAGUGAAGGCUGCUCCCAAGGACUUGGAGCUCACCUUCCUUCCCAGCUUUGUGAUGGGAGGGUGUCCAAGUUGUUCCUGAUGUUGAUUUAAGGAGGUGACUGAGCAGCGACACAGAGAAGCCAG
rnacentral:lncRNA from 1 species